rnacentral:rRNA from 1 species
UAGGGAAUCUUCCGCAAUGGGCGAAAGCCUGACGGAGCAACGCCGCGUGAGUGAAGAAGGAUUUCGGUUCGUAAAGCUCUGUUGUUAGGGAAGAAUGAUUGUGUAGUAACUAUACACAGUAGAGACGGUACCUAACCAGAAAGCCACGGCUAACUACGUGCCAGCAGCCGCGGUAAUACGUAGGUGGCAAGCGUUGUCCGGAAUUAUUGGGCGUAAAGCGCGCGCAGGUGGUUUAAUAAGUCUGAUGUGAAAGCCCACGGCUCAACCGUGGAGGGUCAUUGGAAACUGUUAAACUUGAGUGCAGGAGAGAAAAGUGGAAUUCCUAGUGUAGCGGUGAAAUGCGUAGAGAUUAGGAGGAACACCAGUGGCGAAGGCGGCUUUUUGGCCUGUAACUGACACUGAGGCGCGAAAGCGUGGGGAGCAAACAGGAUUAGAUACCCUGGUAGUCCACGCCGUAAACGAUGAGUGCUAGGUGUUAGACCCUUUCCGGGGUUUAGUGCCGCAGCUAACGCAUUAAGCACUCCGCCUGGGGGGUACGACCGCAAGGUUG